CCUACGGGCGGCAGCAGUGGGGAAUAUUGGACAAUGGGGGGAACCCUGAUCCAGCGACGCCGCGUGAGUGAAGAAGUAUUUCGGUAUGUAAAGCUCUAUCAGCAGGGAAGAAAGAAAUGACGGUACCUGACUAAGAAGCCCCGGCUAACUACGUGCCAGCAGCCGCGGUAAUACGUAGGGGGCAAGCGUUAUCCGGAAUUACUGGGUGUAAAGGGAGCGUAGACGGUUAAGUAAGUCUGGAGUGAAAGGCCGGGGCCCAACCCCGGGACUGCUCUGGAAACUAUUGAACUUGAGUGCAGGAGAGGUAAGCGGAAUUCCUAGUGUAGCGGUGAAAUGCGUAGAUAUUAGGAGGAACACCAGUGGCGAAGGCGGCUUACUGGACUGUAACUGACGUUGAGGCUCGAAAGCGUGGGGAGCAAACAGGAUUAGAUACCCGUGUAGUC
rnacentral:rRNA from 1 species